UGGGUAGUGGCUCAAUGGUAGAGCACUUGCCUGGCAUGAAUGAGGUACUGGGUUCGAUCCUCAGCACCCCAU
rnacentral:tRNA from 1 species